AUUCCAGAGGUGGUUUGGUUCCUACCAUACCACUCCGGCAGCAAGCGAAGGUGUCAUUGACACCCGUGGUAUAGUCCCCCGGCUAUGCCACGACAUUUUUUU
rnacentral:ncRNA from 1 species